rnacentral:ncRNA from 1 species
GUUCACUAGAAGAAAUACAUUAUUUGUGAGACAACCAUGUACCCAUUAUCCGGUUACUGCAGCAAAACACAUUAUUUCUUUGGGUUCAGACUUUACACGCUGGAUUUCGAACCCAUGAUGGGUCAGUCGCUAUCUUUUACACAGAACUGGGUAAAGGCAUUCUGCCAUACAACCAUUCUUGGUAAUGCAACAUUCAUUGAGUGCCUUACACAAAGGACACAACCAAAUAUAUAUUGACCAGUUUCAAUCCUACAACGUAUCGGUUAAAAGGUGCGAGGUAAUAAUUAAGUGGGACAGACAGGAGCAUUCGUACUGUGCCGUUAGAGGUGAAAUUCUUGGAUCGGCGCAAGACAAACGACUGCGAAAGCAUUUGCCAAAAAUGUUUUUUUUAAUCAAGAGCGAAAGUCAGCGGUUCGAAGGCGGCACUCUAAGCUAUUCGGUCGGGGGAAUACCCCAAUCUCACCCACCUGUAAUCGCUUAGCGAU